ensembl:lncRNA
GAGGUCAUCCUGACUGGUUGCAUCUCUGCCUGAUACGGCAAUUGCUCAGCAUCCGACCGCAAGGCACUACAGAGGGUAGUGUUAGGGCUAAGCGGCCUGCUAUCCAGGACCUCUACACUAGGCGGUGUCAGAGGAAGGCCCUAAAAAUUGUCAAAGACAACAGCCACCCCAGUCAUAGACGGUUCUCUCUACUACCGCAUGGCAAGCGGUACCAGAGUGCCAUGUCUAGGACAAAAAGGCUUCUCAACAGUUUUUACCCCCAAGCCAUAAGACUCCUGAACAGGUAAUCAAGUGGCUACCUGGACUAUUUGCAUUCUUCUUUUUACGCUGCUGCUACUCUCUGUUUAUCAUAUAUGCAUAGUCACUUUAACUAUUCAUUCAUGUCCAUAAUACCUCAAUUGGGCCGACCAACCUGUGCUCCCGCACAUUGGCUAACCGGGCUAUCUGCAUUGUGUCCCGCCACCAACCACCCGCCAACCCUUUUUUUACACUACUGCUACUCUCUGUUCAUCAUAUGCAUAGUCACUUUAACCAUAUCUACAUGUACAUACUACGUCAAUCAGCCUGACUAACCGGUGUCUGUAUGUAGCCUCGCUAAUUUUAUAGCCUCGCUACUGAAUAGAGCCUGUCUUUUUACUUUACUAUUAUUUAUUUACUUACCUAUUGUUCACCUAAUACCUUUUUGCACUAUUGGUUAGAGCCUGUAAGUAAGCUUUUCACUUACUUACAACACCUGUUGUAUUCGGCGCAUGUGACAAAUAAACUUUGCUUUGAUUGGAUUUGAAUUUGCUUAAAUUAAUAAGAAAUACACACCUGGUGUGAACAAGAAAUGAAUUGUUCAGAGAUUUGAACUUAUUGUUUUGAAAAAAAGAAUUAUCAUUCGAGAAUUGAGCCAAAGCUAUUGAGAGAACCUGUAACAUACACAACACAAAAGAAUGCCAAAACAGCUCCUACACCAUUUUGCAUGUCUAUUUGAAUGUAUGCGAGACGCUGUUCUUUGUUACCUUUUACAUGCACAGAAACCCGAAAAAGUGUUUUAAACACCGAUAUGAAGAACCACAUAUUUCAGAGAACUUCUAUUCUGUUUGAAAACACUGUGUUUCAGAACACUUAAAUUGGCUUUACAGCCUCUAAACACCAGAUCUCAUCUUAAGUACAUUACUUUGCAUGGUUUCAUUAUACAGUGAUGGUGUUUUGAGUGUUUAAUAGAGGAGGAGAGAGAAGGCAAAGAAUACGAAUCCCUGAUGAAAUCAGAGCCACAAUUGUGGACUGUGUCAUCAAGCACAAGACAUUUGCAAUGUGGAUACAGCCAACAAUUCCAUCAGGCUAAGAGGGAUCCAAAGUGCAAUCAUAAAUGACAACAUCAUUGCAAAUAUCAAUUCUGUCAGCAUUUCCACUCUAGACAGAGUUUUCAAAAAUAAUCAAAUGACUAUGAAACAACUCUACAAGGUGCCACUUGAGAGGAAUAGUGACUGAGUGAAGGAGCUGCGUUACCAGUAUGUCCAGGUAGGAGCUGUGGGACAGGUAUGUCCAGGUAGGAGCUGUGGUACCAGUAUGUCCACGUACCAGUAUGUCCAGGUAGGAGCUGAGGUACCAGGAUGUCCAGGUAGGAGCUGUGGUACCAGUAGGUCCAGGUAGGAGCUGCAGUUCCAGGAUGUCCAGGUACCAGUAUGUCCAGGUAGGAGCUGCAGUACCAGUAUGUCCAGGUAGGAGCUGCAGUACCAGGAUGUCCAGGUAGGAGCUGCAGUACCAGGAUGUCCAGGUACCAGUAUGUCCAGGUAGGAGCUGAGGUACCAGGAUGUCCAGGUAGGAGCUGUGGUACCAGUAUGUCCAGGUAGGAGCUGUGGUAACAGUAUGUCCAGGUUAACCAUUGGUGUGCACAUGGUAUAUUGUACAGGGAGUUUUACUGUACUUCAGUGAUGCCUGUAUAUAUUUCUUGAAGUUUUAGAUACCCAUAAAAACAUUUCUACUUUACUAAACUGUCUGAUUCCAGAAAAGGCUAUGUUAAACUAACUUCAUGUUUUGUUUCUGUAUUACUAUAUAGAUAAUAAUGGAGCUGGAAGGACAUGAAAUGACCCACAUUCUUGUUUUUGUGGAAGAGGCUAGGUUCAAUCUGGCCGAAUGCAGAGACGUGGAAGCAAUCUCAUUGGCCACCGAGCCACAAUUGUCACACCAGGCCAACGUGGGGACCAUAUUACAAUGUGUGCUGCCAUUUCUGAGAAUGUUGUGAGCAAAACAUAUUCCACACAUUGGGUCCUAUAACACCCAACUUCUCCUGUCCUUCCUAAAUAUACUGUACAGAGACCUAAUACCAGAACAUGAAAGAGAUUGCAUCGCAAGGGAAAACAUCAGAUGUGAUUCUGACUAAAAUCUCUGGCCAGACCAACAAGAGUGCCAGUGUGUCCAAGAAGAUGGGAACUUGUAGUGUUACGUAGGGUGCGGAGGUACUAUUUAUUGUUUUUUACAGAACUGUCGCAGGUUUUUUUCAAUGUUGCGAGUUUAUUUAUUUUUUGCAUAGAUGUCAUUUUGUGGCAAAUUUUCUGUUCAAUAUAUAUGACUUUACAUGUAAGAAAUAUGUAAAAAUGGACAUGCAAAUGUGAAUUUUCUGUUUACAUGUAACACAUUGCUAUAAAUGUUCUGUAUACAUGCAAAUGUGCAUAUCCUUUUUCUGUGUACUACAGUAUUGUUCAAAAAAACAAAAAAAAUGUUUUAUUUUGGUGGCGUUGGUCAAUUCACUGACACAAUAACUAGGCUUUGAAGCACAAAUAGAAAAAAUUGGGUGAGAGACUACAUUUUGCAGACAUGCAAUAGAGUUGUGAUGUCCCAUAAAACAGUUGUGACAAUUGCACUUACAGUUUAGAGAAUGUUAAGCCUGUUUAAAAAAUUGAGCCAAAGCGAUUGAGGAAAAACUAAUUAUUUAUAUAUAUUAGCUUGUUUAUACACUAGGUGGCACUAUAUGUUAGG